rnacentral:rRNA from 1 species
AACGAACGCUGGCGGCAUGCCUAACACAUGCAAGUCGAACGAGACCUUCGGGUCUAGUGGCGCACGGGUGCGUAACGCGUGGGAACCUGCCCUUAGGUUCGGAAUAACUCCCCGAAAGGGGUGCUAAUACCGGAUAAUGUCUUCGGACCAAAGAUUUAUCGCCUUUGGAUGGGCCCGCGUUGGAUUAGCUAGUUGGUACGGUAAAAGCCUACCAAGGCGACGAUCCAUAGCUGGUCUGAGACGAUGAUCAGCGACACUGGGACUGAGACACGGCCCAGAAUCCUACGGGAGGGAGCAGUGGGGAAUAGUGGACAACGGGCGAAAGCCUGAUGCAGCAAUGCCGCGUGAGUGAUGAAGGACUUAGGGUUGUAAAGCUCUUUUAACCGGGAUGAUAAUGACAGUACCGGGAGAAUAAGCUCCGGCUAACUCCGUG